UUGAUCUUCCCGUGCAGAAGCGGGGAUUUUAACAUAAGACGAGAAGACCCUAUGGAGCUUCAGGCUCCAGAACAGACUAUGUUAAAAACCCUCCCACAAAAGACAAAACUUAUUAGACCCUGUUCCAAUGCCUUUGGUUGGGGCGACCGCGGGGAAACGAAAAACCCCCAUACGGACCGGGAGCAUCACUCCUCCCAAAACCAAGAGCAACACCUCUAAGUAACAGUACAUCUGACCAACAAAUGAUCCGGCACAGCCGAUCAACGGACCGAGUUACCCUAGGGAUAACACCGCAAACCCCUUCUAGAGCCCAUAUCGACAAGGGGGUUUCCUUCCUCGAUGUUGGAUCAGGACAUCCUAUUGGUGCAGCUCGCUAUUAAGGGUUUCGUUUGUUCAAACGUUAAA
rnacentral:rRNA from 1 species